AGUCGAGGUGCAAAACAGAAGAAGACAAGACACCAGUGGCCGCAGGGCAAGUGGAAAUAAUUUGAGCACACCAACUUGUUACUGGGCUUCCCACUGACUACACAACCACACCACAAAGUAUCUAUGUGAGGAAAUCAGGUCUGAUGAGCUACCCAGUUACAAAUGAAGGAAGAAAAGAAACCAAAAUUACUGCAGCUGGGGCAGCUAUUAGGUUGGGGCAGCUCAUUAGGUUGCUGCUGGCCAUGCUCCCUACCCUACAAAAGCAGGACAGCUGGAGGUAGAGAGGGGCUUGGAAACAUUUGUUCCUCUUCCUCUAAGCUUGGGAGUUGUACAAGAUGGUCUCCUGCGGUACUGGGAGUAAAUGAGGCAGUGGGAGAGUUUGCUUUUCUCCUGCUUCCUAAGGGAAAAUGGAAGAUGUGUCAUGACCUGGGAGCUGGAGCAAGAGUCUAGGAGACAUGCAGCUCUUUACAGAGCUCACUCUGCUGAAGAGAGCAAUAGCUUCUAAUUAGAACCUUCUGCAGAUGCUUGUCGUGUAUAAAUGAAGCCUUAAAGCCAAUGGUGCCACUUCAGUUUACACAGCUGAAGGUCCAGCCCUCAAAGUCUAUCAAGACUGAAGCAGAAUAAACAGAUAACAAAAGACAUGUUACACAGAGCUGUCACACCCCAGAAGAGGAGAGCUGUACACCACCGAAGAAAAAGGUUGAACCAUCUGGGAAUCAUCCCUUUUUUCUCUAGUUGGCUGUGAGAGGCCGUCACGCAUGAUCUCCACCACUGGCUAUUUCAAGCCUCAGCAGAGGCUGCUCUUCUAUCUUGCACUAACGUUAUACUAUGUAUUUCAGUUACUCCCUGCAUAAAAAUAGUAUUCAUGUGUAAUUCAGGCAGUAAUCCAAAAGUCUACCCUCCUCUUGACACAAGGGAUUCAUCCUGGAGAAUACCUCACGCUUUCAGAUAAUUCCCUUCCUCAUAUUUUCCUCCCGUUCUCCCCUUUUGCUUUCCCCUCUUCCCACACAUGUGAUGUUGAGAGAAGGAAAAACGGGUAGGAAGGAGGGCAAGAUUACUGUGUAUCAGCUCAGGGAAUGACAGAGAGCCAGAUCUUCUCCCACGCUGACUGGCACAUGGCAGCUCCAAGUGGCAGCUCCAAGAGAACACAGUCUGCGAGCUAAAGGGCAUGGA